CAGCCCUGUCAUGGUCCAGCACACGAGCAAAAAUAGCCUGCAGCCCCCAGAGCUGACUGUGCGCCGGGCGUGCCAAGCGCUGUGUGUGAAGCUUUCUAAGAUGUCAGGGUAGAUUCCAGAUUUGGAUAGCGGAACCCCACCGCCGGCUGCUAUAUUCAUGCAUUAGCUCCAUCAGUCCUCCUAACGAUCCUAUGGGGCUAGAACCUGCCAUUACAGCUGUUUGACAGGUGAGGCAGUGAGGCUGAGGGAGCUUGAGUGACUUGCUCAACGUCACAUAGCCAGGCGGCAUCAUCAGUGGCAGGUUUGAAGCCCUGGGGAUGUGCUGCUGACUUCCAGGACACGUGGGUCUGUGAGUCUGAAUGUCCUGAUCAGAAGUCACGGGAUGGCUGGGAGGAGGCCGGUCCACAGCCCAAGCUGCCUCCUUCCCCCUCUGCCCCCGCGCGGGCCUGCAGGGCCCCCCGUUCUAGACCGGAGUUGGGAAGCCUGAUCUACCUCCUUCCACUGGCUCUGCCUCUUCGAGGAGACACCUGCCCUUCCAUCUUCUCUUGGCUCUCAUGCCAGACUGCCUGGCAUUGGGGUUACCUGCCCGUGUGUCCGUGUCCCAGUUUAGAAUGUGCGCUCCACGAGGUCAAGGAUGGAUCUGGCCCAUGUUCAAGUCCCCUUGUGCUCACAGCCCGGGCCCCUGGCCCUGUAGCCCUCCCCACUCCCAGCCUGGGUCUUGGCUCACCCACGGUGGUGAUGGGCCGGCGGUAGGGCAGAAAACCAAAGCUGUGCUGGAAGACGCCCCGGCCGUGGAAGAGCGGGAGCGAGAUCCCCAUGAUCCUCUGUAGCCGGUCCUGGCACCAGCGCAGCCAGGAGCCAGGUAUGCCUUCUUCUUUAGUGACAUGACCAUCCAGAAGCUAGGCAGUGGCGAGCUGCUGGGCCCGCGCUUGCACUGUUCCCUUCGCAGGCCACCUCUCCUUCCCUGGUGGACUCAGGAUUCAGCUCACAGGAAGGAGUGAAUGCACAGAGCCAGCAUCCACUAGGCUCCACCCAAGGCCAGAAACCGCUUAUAGUUUUCUUUGGCUGAGUGGCUGACAUCAACCCUCUAAGGCUACAGGCCAUCCUUUCCCCUGGGAACACUGGCCUUCCUGCCCAGAAGAGCAGGCCUUGGCCUGGGGAGAGGAAGGAGGGAUGGGCAUUCAGAAUCUCAGUGCUCAGAGAUCCUGGCGGUGGGGAUGAGGGACUCUGCGCACGAAUCCCACGGAUCCUCUCAGGACCAUGACAAGGUCAGCAGGCGGGGAAGGCGCCCAGCAGAGGAAGCAGAUGCGGCCCGUGAGGAAGACCACCUCCACCUGGGUGCUUCAGGGGAGCUCAGCACUGCCCACCUGCUCUGUCAUUGAACAUCUAUCGCCCCCCAUGAGCAUGGAAGCUUCUGCCAGCCAACUCCCCCUCCCGACCCCCCAUGCCCAGCCCCUUCCCUGCUGCCCUGCCCUGCUGAUCCCACCCGUGCCCUUUGCCCAGGAGGCCCUGCUCACUGGUGCCAAAGGCUCCUGAACCCUGGUUGUUGCUCAGCGUUUGCUCAUCCCUGCUGGGCCCUGAGAUGCUCAGAAGGGAGCGAGGCAGAGGCUCUGCCUCUGCAGCUGAGUUCUCAUGACUCAGACAAGUUGCUCUGA